AGAGAACAUCACCACCCUGAAGCCAGAGACUAACACUGCAGGACUCAGCAGGACUAUUUAAGAAACAACUGAGGCAUCAGACCAACCUUCCCCACAAGUCCUCGGAUCUUUCCUGCCAUGCUGAUGCCACAUAUUCCAAUGUGAUCAACCUGGCCCCCCAGAAGGAGGAUGACUUUGCUGUCUACGCCAACAUGCCCCCUUUUCAUCACCCCAGGAGGACAUUACCAGACCAAGUGAAAUAUGCCUCCAUUGUAUUCCACUGAUGGGAAGCUAAUGAGAUGCUCAGAGUGGGGGUUAGACCUGGCCCCAGCUGAAUCUUGGCAUACCCUUUGCUUUAGAUUUAUGUGUGUGUU